AGGACUUGUGUUCCGGAAAUACUCGAAAGACAAAGAUGCGACGAGACGUUUCUUCUUGAGCAUUUCUUUAAGGACAUCAACGCCGACUGUGGAACAUCGAAGCCAGUCUGCUUGGAGUGCAAUCAAAAAGCAAUAUCAGAUGCGGAAGAUGUGUGCUUGAGGAAAUACGAACAGGAACACGGCAUCAUUUCUAGAGGCCUGAUGUCCGGCAACGACAAACGACUGUGCUGCAUGUUGGACUACAAGAAGAAUUGUGUUCCAGACCAAUUGAAACCAAAAGGUUGUGGUGAACAACUUCUUCAAAAUUAUGUUGCAAAGAUGCAGAGUGAAAUGAGAUACCAAUGUGCAGCAUCGAACUCGA